AGGUAUUUCAGCUGCUCUCUCUGCCGUGGCUGGUUUGUUUGAAGGCUGAGCAGAUGGGGAUAGCUGCUGGGUUUGGAGGAUGUGGAGAAAUUUGGCUGGAAAGAUUGUCCUGUUGCAUUGUAAACCACCGCUGAACCUUCUGAAGAGAUUUCUCAUCUGCACUGUUUUGCUGGCUAAUGAUCACAGCAUGGUUAAUAGAGGAGCUGGAAGGAGAAACAGAAGUUUUUGCACCCAGAAAUCUUAAUCUGAGACCUACUUAUUUGAUGGGUUCAUCUGAGGACAUAACAAGCUUGACCAACUUUGAAGUCUGGCAGACUGAAAGUAGACCCAGUCAAGUGUGUAAAUACUUUUUGGAAUACGUUAAGUGUAUCUGAUUCUGUGCCUGUCCCUUAUCCCUCCCCCCACCUUAUUUUUGAUUACUACUGUUUUAAAGAGUUUAUAAAGUUCUCAAUUAAGAACACUUCUUUAUGUGAGAUAAAACAUUCGUUGCAGUAACAGUCUCUACGCUCUGCCGCUCACAUGUCCCAUUCUAAGUGCCGCCAAUGUUCAUUAAGGAGGACUGUGAUAACAAUUGUAGUAAUGUGUAUUUUAGAGAAUUUUCUUCAUUUGUCGACAUGCAAUGUGAAUGGAUACGAACAUACUCUAGCCUUGGCCUUUUAGUUCUGAUUUCCAUAUUGUUACAAACAAUUGGAACCGUUUCACUCUGCUGAUAUGAUGCCAGAUGAAUUUCACAACAGAGGAGAGCUAUGAGAUGUCUCAUCUAUGUAACAACAAGCAUUUUUCUCUGUACUGAUGCUGAGGUGAUUUUAAGAGCAUCUUUAUUUAGGAAGAAAGCAACUUAAAGAUUUACAUGUUCAUUUUUGUCUCGGGUUAAUUAAAGAUCAAUGUAAGGGGGAGGAGAACAUUAUGGAGUAUGUGUAGUUUCAGUGGGAUGAGCCUCAAAAAGAUGUCAGUGAUUUAUCCG
rnacentral:lncRNA from 7 species